UACGAAGGGGGUUAGCGUUGUUCGGAUUUACUGGGCGUAAAGCGCACGUAGGCGGAUAUUUAAGUCAGAGGUGAAAUCCCAGGGCUCAACCCUUGAACUGCCUUUGAUACUGGUUAUCUUGAGUAUGGAAGAGGUGAGUGGAAUUCCGAGUGUAGAGGUAAAAUUCGUAGAUAUUCGGAGGAACACCAGUGGCGAAGGCGGCUCACUGGUCCAUUACUGACGCUGAGGUGCGAAAGCGUGGGGAGCAAACA
rnacentral:rRNA from 1 species